CCCCGGUAAACGGCGGCCGUAACUAUAACGGUCCUAAGGUAGCGAAAUUCCUUGUCGGGUAAGUUCCGACCUGCACGAAUGGCGUAAUGAUGGCCAGGCUGUCUCCACCCGAGACUCAGUGAAAUUGAACUCGCUGUGAAGAUGCAGUGUACCCGCGGCAAGACGGAAAGACCCCGUGAACCUUUACUAUAGCUUGACACUGAACAUUGAGCCUUGAUGUGUAGGAUAGGUGGGAGGCUUUGAAGUGUGGACGCCAGUCUGCAUGGAGCCGACCUUGAAAUACCACCCUUUAAUGUUUGAUGUUCUAA
rnacentral:rRNA from 1 species